GAUGAACGCUGGCGGCGUGCCUAAUACAUGCAAGUCGAGCGAACAGAUAAGGAGCUUGCUCCUUUGACGUUAGCGGCGGACGGGUGAGUAACACGUGGGUAACCUACCUAUAAGACUGGGAUAACUUCGGGAAACCGGAGCUAAUACCGGAUAACAUUUGGAACCGCAUCGUUCUAACGUGAAAGAUGGUUUUGCUAUCACUUAUAGAUGGACCCGCGCCGUAUUAGCUAGUUGGUAAGGUAACGGCUUACCAAGGCGACGAUACGUAGCCGACCUGAGAGGGUGAUCGGCCAGACUGGAACUGAGACACGGUCCAGACUACUACGGGAGGCAGCAGUAGGGAAUCUUCCGCAAUGGGCGAAAGCCUGACGGAGCAACGCCGCGUGAGUGAUGAAGGGUUUCGGCUCGUAAAACUCUGUUAUUAGGGAAGAACAAACGUGUAAGUAACUGUGCACGUCUUGACGGUACCUAAUCAGAAAGCCACGGCUAACUACGUGCCAGCAGCCGCAGUAA
rnacentral:rRNA from 1 species